ACGCUCGACACCUACGGGAGGCAGCAGUGGGGGAUAUUGGUCAAUGGGGGAAACCCGUAGAACCAGCAAUGCCGCGUGAGGGAAGAAGGUCUUCGGAUUGUAAACCUAAGUAGUCAGGGACGAAAGAAUGACGGUACCUGAAGAGUAAGCUCCGGCUAACUACGUGCCAGCAGCCGCGGUAAUCGUGAGCGGNUGGCAAGGC
rnacentral:rRNA from 1 species